AGAAACAUGGCGGUUCCGUAGUGACACUAUGGAAGACAACCCAUGAUGCCUGUAGAUUAAAACGGCUUAUUCUAAGCACUUGUGUUCCUGCACAGAGAACAAACAGGCGUUCUCAUUUUCUGUGAAAGGGCUCUGUUGAACAGCAGAAAACACUAUGAUGGCACAUGUGAGGAAUGCAGCGGAUCAUCAGAUGUCUGAGCGCCCCUUUAAAGUGGUGAUAAAUGUGAAGCAGUUCUUCAAGGUGUAAGGUGAUCAAAGGCGUGGCAGAGGUCUGGCCUUGGUUUAUGAGCGUGUGGUGGUCAGCUGACAGGCUCCGGGAUCAGAAGGGGGAAUUCACUUUUCCACAAGCACACAUGUGUGUUUGCGCCCAUGAAUGAGCUGAACUAAUGCAGAAUGGUCUGUUCAGACUUCUUCAACCAGUUCCUCUGACUGAUCCUCAAAAGGCUUUGUGUUAUAGUUAGUUGUUUUUCCUGUCUUCAUAAUAUCAUUACUGUCCCAAAGGAACCUUCUUUUCAAAAGAUGCGAACAAUUUUAAAGUCCAGGUGAAAUGAAAAAUGUCAUUUU